rnacentral:rRNA from 1 species
CGCAUCUGUGCAUGCAGCAUAUCAAUAAGCGGAGGAAAAGAAACUAACAAGGAUUCCCCUAGUAACGGCGAGUGAAGCGGGAAGAGCUCAAAUUUGAAAUCUUAAAGGGUUUCCCUUUACGAAUUGUAGUUUAAAGAAGUGUUUUCUGUUGAGGUUUUGGUAAAAGUUCUUUGGAAUAGGACAUCAUAGAGGGUGAGAAUCCCGUAUUUGACCUUUACUUUCAACUUUGUGAUACACUUUCAAAGAGUCGGAUUGUUUGGGAAUGCAGUCCAAAAUGGGUGGUAAAUUUCAUCUAAAGCUAAAUAUUGGCGAGAGACCGAUAGCGAACAAGUACCGUGAGGGAAAGAUGAAAAGAACUUUGAAAAGAGAGUUAAACAGUACGUGAAAUUGUCAAAAGGGAAGCGUUUGACACCAGUGUUGUUUUUCUGAAAAUCAAUUAAAGAACUGUUUAUGCUAAGCUGUUUAGACUUUAUCAGCUAUCUGUUUAGUUUUGAGCUUUUCUUUAAUGCACUUUUCAGUUAACAAGUCAACAUCAAUUUCUUUUGCUGUAAAAAAGCUUGAGGAAGGUGGCUUGAGAUUCGUCUUAAGUGUUUAUAGCCUCUUAGCCUAUGCAGUCGGAGAGAUUGAGGUCUGCAGCGUAGAUCCUUCGGGGCUAAAUGCAUUUGUGCUAAGUUAUAGCAUUUUAUAGACAACUUGUUGACUAUGAUUUGUCUUGUAGCUUACUCGCUUAUGUUAUUUUACCUACGCUUAGGAUGUUGAGUCAUCACACAUCUCU